UAUUAGUUAUCUUUCUUUUUUGCCUUUCUUCAUUUGGAAAUUUGGAUUUUACUAUUUAUAGUUUUUUAUUUUCUUAUAAUUAUUUAGUUGGUUUGUGUUCUUAGCAACUUUCUUCGCACGGGCUUUUUGAUGUGCAUGUGAGGGCAACCGGCGAUAUUCACAUUGAUGAUCAUCACACUAACGAAGAUGUUGCUCUUGCUAUUGGAACUGAUUUGUCUGGCCGACCAUAUUUAGGUUAUGAUUUGCAAGUUCCUACUCAGAGAUUUGGAUCACAUGAUACUCAGCUUCAAGAAGACAAUUUGAUGCGGAUAAAGUUCACACCUUGGAAUUUCUAACCUGGUCUAUCAUUUUGAUAGCUGGUGGAACACUUUUUCCAGUCAUUGGUGAAUACUUCUGCUUGCUGGAAGAAAUUCUCAUCAUGUUAUUGAGGCAACCUUCAAAGCUUUUGCCAGGGCUCUUCGACAAGCAACAGAAUAUGACCCACGUCGCCUCGGGACUGUGCCAAGCUCAAAGGGGGUUCUAUCGAGAUCGUGAUGAUUCAUUAUUACUUUAAGAAUGAUGGUUUAAAUUCGAAGUCCAAUAUGGGGACAUGGAUGCUGUGAAGGAUAGGCUAUUGCUCGUAUGGUUAGUUGUAUUUUGAACUCGUAAUGAAUUGAUGUUUUUGUAUUCCAAACGUUGUUUUACUCGUGGCGUAGGGAAAAGGAGGGAGCAGCAGGGAAGAUGUGUAUUUGUCAAGAACAAACUUUUGAGCUCGUAGUUAUUUGUCCGUUCUCACCUGUCACUUUAUUGAAGCUUCUUGGUGGUGUCCUCUGGGAAAUGUACACCGAGAUCUCUUGAACCGUGGCCUUUGGUGACUUGAUUUCUAGUGAUUGCCAAGUUGUUCCACUGUGGUUUAGACUAGGCACUUGAGUGAUUUUUUCUAUUUGUCGGAUUCAGUACCUUUCUCUAGUCAUAUGAAAUUCCCCUACACUUCUUUACUACAAUCUUUUCAAGCGGAAUGAAAUGUGUUGCUUUCCAAGUGCAGAUUCUAAUGGUUUUGUGAUUUAUAUGAGAAUGAAUUGGCAAA